CGGGCCUGAAGGGACGAGAGUCAUCCGGAAGGCUGGGUCUGGGGGACGGGGGAGGACUCCAACGUCAUCUGCCAGCAUCUGUGUCAACACACCCAUAGGUCACAACAAUGGCUGCUGCCAAUGUCUCAGUCCCUGGAGAGGUCUCACCUCUCACUGAGAUGCACCCAGAGCCUAUCAGGGAGUGGGUUUCCUGAAAUGGAAGUGAUGGCCUAACCAUGAUCUCAAAGUCGGGGAUUUCAAUUCCAUAAGACUUCUCCGACUGAACUGAAGGAGCCUGAGUGACCGACCAUCUGAGCACAUCCUUUGCAUCCUGCCCAGCCCUGCUCGAACCUCCUGUGGCUCCAGGACACAAGCUCCUCGCCUGCCUCCCCCCGUGAGUCCCCCAGGCCUGCGGCACCCUCUCCUUCACUGGGUGCCUCCCCUGGAGUGCUCCUCCCCAUCUUCCUGCACCUUUGCUGUCUCAGGACCCCCCUGCGUCCCCGUCCCGCAGAGAGGGUGUAAUCCCCCAACUAGCCUGUCACCCAGCCCCCUCCGUCCAUCCCCUGAGCUCACGUUGCUCCUCCUCACACUGGUCCAGGAGGUUGUUAGAGUCAUUGUAAUGGCUUCACAGGACUGGCGUCUGUCCCCCAGAAUGUGGCCUAGGUGGGCCCGGGGACUGCUCUGAACCCCUCAAUCUAGUCGGCGCCCAGUAGGUAGUUUGCACUAGUGAGCAAGUUGCUCUUUAGGGGAUGCCACAUUUAAGGAAACAAACUUGAUCUAGUUCAAUGCAGUAGAGAGUAAUUUAUUUAUUUAUAUUUUGGUGAGGAAGAUUGGCCCUGAGCUAACAUCCAUUGCCAAUCCUCCUCUUUUUGCUUGAGGAAGAUUGCCCCUGAGCUAACGUCUGUGCCAAUCUUUCUCUAUUUUGUUUGUGGGUCACCGCCACAGCAUGGCUGACAAGUGGUGUAGGUCCACACCUGGAUGUGAACCGGUGAACCCUGGGCUGCCAAAGUGGAGUGCGCUAACCAACCACUACACCACCGGGCCGCUCCUGUAGAGAAUAAUAUUCGAGCAGUAGCUAUUCAUCCAUGGGUCCCACAUUGACCCCAAAUCUUAUUAAGCGCCUGUGCCUUAGAGCAUGGCUCCCGUGAACAGGACAGGGA